AUAGUAAUAGAUAUAAUCAAUCAUAAAUCAUAAGCGUAUAGUUGUUGUGCGACUAGUUGUUGUUCCCAACGCAUCUGUAUAAACUAGAUAUUGAUCAUGUCUAACUCAUAAAAGUGAAUUCCGCGAGAUUGUCCAUAAUUUGAAAACGCGGUCUUGUUAUUUUCACGUGGAACAAUAUUCCGCGUUGGUGUGCGCCGGUCGAGAGAUCGCGCGCUCUUCCCGCUCGAUCGAUACCUAAAUUUAUUAUGCCCCACUUGCCGCUGUGGAACCGUGGUAUGUUACCGCCAUUACCUGUUUUGACUUUGUGCCAUUCAAAAUUUCACCGUAAUGAAACGUUUGGUUUUCCAUGAAAUUGAACUUCUGAAUUGUUUAUUAAUUUCCCUUGUAAUAAUGUUUUCCAUUUAUUUAUUUUGUUGUUUUUUUCUUUUUUUUUUUUUUUUGUUUUCUUUCUUGCUUGUUUUCUCGUUCGUUUAUCGACAAGGAUUACAUACUACGUUCAAAUAUUCUUUUUACAUCUACGAAUAAGUUUUCUAUAUAAGAGAAAAUUACAAAUUAUUAAUUAUUAUUAACAUUGAGUAAUACAAAUUUAAUAUGUUUCUAUUUAAUUGUAAUUCCAUAAACCAACGAAGUAUGAUAGGUUCAUAAGAAUUAACUUAAAGUUAAAUUGAAGUUAAAUAUAUUAUCUUACAAUUAGUCUUUUCGCAUAUUCAUGGACCUUAGAAUUCUAGAAUAAUAAUAAUCUUUUUUCUUUUCUUAUUAAGUAAAGUAAGCUUGUAAUAAUAUAUACUCAUAUACUUACUAAAAUAUCAAAUGAAAAUACAAAUAAAACUGAAAGUAAAAUAGCAAAAGAUUAAAGAAUGUUAAACUCGUCUCUAAGGAAUAACAAUCGGUAAAAUUGUAGAAUUUAACCAAAGAAGAAGAAGGAAAAUGUGCAACAGUUAGCAUUUCUACGAACAUUUAAGAAUUCUUGGACCACAUCAAAGGCGGGUACGUCCGAAGAAGUGUUUUUUUCGCGGUUAAAGAACAAUUAGCAAUUAGUCGCGGAACAAAACAGCAAAAGAUUCUUCAAGGAAUCAUUCAAUGCGACAAAUCUAAACUUUCCCUUUGUUUUUAUUAAUUCGAAAGUAGAUUUUAAAGUAGCGACGUUCAAUUGGAACAGAAUAGAGAGAAAAGAGAAAGAUCUUUGAGUUUUCCAUUCUUGUUCGAGAAGUGUCGAAAAAGCGGAGAUCGGGCAAGAAAGUCAGCAGAGGAAAUGAAGAUGAACGUAAAUGAUCAACAUAAAUGCGGGGGUGUGUAAAGAAUUUCGAAGGUUAGUCGACGAACGUCAUUGUGAGACACAAGAGUCGAGAACAGCGUGGCUCUGAGGGGCUAUAAAAAUCGUAUUUUGGCGGGAGACCCACGUUUGUAGGUUGUAUUUUCCCUUUCUAUGACCCAAUGCAGCUUUAUCGGGUCAGUUGCAUUUGCAUUGCGAUGCGCACGGCGUUCCCGUUUCACAACUCUCUCACGUAUUUUCCCUCCUUCUCUCUCGGCUGUCGUGCCGUCCUUGCUUUUCACUCGUUUCCCCUUUUCGUCUAUCGUCCUUUUUAUUUUCACGUUAGUUUCCUCUUUUCCAUCCACGUUAGUUUCCUCUUUCCAUCCACGUUCCUGUCCGUGCAACGUGCUCCGAUGGACCGUUUGCCUGGAAAAUCGGCUAUUCUCUUUUAAUUCAAAGAAAUAUCGCUUAUCAUUGUUCUUAUUAUUUUUGUGUUCUUUGGAAAAUUUUGUUAGAACUUGAAAGGAUACAAGAUUUUUGUUUUUUGAAUUAUCUUCGAUCUAUAUUGAAUUUUUUAAUAUUUAUACAAAAUAUUUCGAUUUUUUUAGAUAAAAAUUUUGUUAAUGUUAUAUGAACAUAGAUAUAUAGAUAUAUAAAAAAAUGUUAUGUAAAUGAAUUGUUAAAACGUUAAUUGUUAAAUACAGAAUACGAAGAUAAUGAUAACAUAUUUGUGUCAAAAUAUUAAUUGCUAAACAUUAAUAUUUCAUUUCAAAAUUUUUCUUAUUUCUAAUGAUUGAAAUUGACAAUGAUACAAAAUAUGUGUAUUAUUAAUUCUUGUGUUACGUUAAAGAUUAAUUAUUGUAAUUAUCAAAAUAUCCUUUCUUUUUUAAAGGAAAAAAUAAAAUAUCGGAGAAUGAACGAUGAUUAUAACCACAAUGAACGUUUUUGUUCGAUACUGACAUUCUCAUGGCUUACUAAACUCCAUCCAUUACUACUAUGCGCUAUCUGAUAACUGCGAUCGAAUGCUCGAUUAAAUUUCUACAUUAAACGAUUCCAUGAAUUCGUGUAUGUUUUCUCAUGCACGUAAAAGAUCAUUACAAUUACCGUUACAUAAUCAAUUUAAAGUAAUAGAAGAAAGGAAGCACAUUGUUUAAUGCCAUUUUAUAUUACGAAUUGCGAUACUACACAUGCGCAAGUUGAUGUAUAUACAGUGGAGCUUCGUUCUUCCUUUGAACGCGAAAAAUAAUUCAAGCAGUCGGAGCUUAAAUCGGGAUCACCAGUGAUUUAAGAACCACGGGGUUAGCAAUCAGAGCGCAAAGUGGACUUGCCGAAGUCGCUUUUGCCAGCCAACCUUCACCAAAGAAGACCAACACGAUGCCGUAAACAUCACUGAUAGAUGGAUUGUUUUCGCGCCUUUCCAGAAUUGUUGACUCACCAAACUUCGACUUGAACUAGACAGCAAAAACAGCGAACAAAUCGAACGUUCUUAUCUAUAUAACAUUGUUAUGUAAUAUUAUAUACAAAACUAAUAUGCAUUUAACGGAUAUCAGAGAAGGGUGGAUUUUCUAGAUGCAUUUAUUCGAAAAUGUUUUGGUUGCCCCGUUGGUAACCCUAUCUGAUACCAGGGCCAACAUUGUACCGCGCUGGCGUCGCUGCUGCCGUUUAUCUCAUGAAACUCCAUUACCGACGUUUUCUCUGAAUUCCGCGCUAAGCAGACGCGAGAGCACCGUGAGCUUGACGCAAUGAAAUUUGAACGCGCGGUGCGACGCCUCUUCUGUCCUUUUCUCUUCUUGUAUAUCCUCUCUCUCUAUAUCUAUCUCAUUCUUAGUUGUGCCGUGCUCGCUAUUCUUAUCCUUUUCCUGCAGUGGUUCCAUCGUCACAAUCUCUCUAUCUUUGUUUUAUUCCUGUUUUCCUCCUUUUCGUUCGGGCGGAAAGAGUGGGGAUAGACGCCUAUCGUGUCGGACGAAGGGGCGUGGUGUGAAGGGAGGGAAAGCACGAAACGUGGCAACGCCACACGACCGUGCCACCAGCAAUGGCGUAGAUAUGUAUAUCGGCAACGCAGCAGUGACUCAGCACCGGGUAGCAGCGCUGUUGCUGCUGAUGGUACUGGUGCGCUACGCUCUGCGUUGGCUACGUGAUAUAAGACAACGUCAAUGUAGACCUUUUACAACUCGGUUUUGUAACUCGAUUCUGUAUGAAUACCCGACCAGACGUCGUUUGCUCAUGGUGUCACGCCGCGACGUCGGAGAUACGCUGACGGCGACAUGUUUGCCAACUGAGUCCACUUUCAUGGAACACGUGUCGAAAACAACGCGUACCGAAAUCAAUUCGAAUUAUAGAUUUAGCAUUAGUCUGGUUGGAAAUUGCAUUCUUUAAUUUAAUGAUGAUAUGAUCAUAUAUCAUUGAUGCUAAUUAUUAGAAAUAGUUUUUUAAAGAAAUUUUUUUUCAUGAAUAUUAAUGACGCACAUAUAACCUGAAAUAUUUGAAUACAUUAUAAAUUAAGUUAUAUGAUAUCUAACUAUUUUUGAUUUUAUUAUAAUUGCAAUACCUUGAACGAAUAUUCUAAUUUAAUACUAUAAAAACUUUAAACGAAAAUUUAUGUUCAUUCUAUUUUUAGUACUUGGAAAUAAUACCGUUGAAAAGUGGAGCUUAAGUGCCAAAGUACGACAAUGUCAUAUCAGCAGCCGAUAAAGCAGAGACUCGAGAGUAGUAUUACAUGGAGACGUCCUCGUGGCCAGUGGUUUUGUUAUAUCGUGCCGGUGUUUAGAAUUUCGUGCAAGCGAGCCCGAGAACUCCUUGCCUGCAUCGAUGACGAAACCAAGGCAUACGAGGAGAGAACUCUGGACUGAAGUCUGACUUGGUGGGAGCGGCUGAAGGCCGGCGUUUUGUAACAACGAACAUACCGGACUCCGGAACGCCUACGACGAAAUUUCGGCGUUACUCAUGAAGUAAUCUAUACUACAAACAAAAUCGCGGGAUCGCGAGAAAAGCUGGGAAUAGAAGGUAGCUGCACUAUCGGCGAUACGUCAGGAUGUCGAAGAGAGAACCAAUCGUUUCUGGUGGAAUUGGGCUCAUAGUGCGCGCAUAUGCAUCCGUGAAGGGAACUGGUUACCGACCGCGAUUCGAUGAACGCGGAAAGUUCCCCAAAGAGGACCGUUGUAAGGCGCCUGAACUUGAUGUAGAUGAGAAUACGAAAAUAGUGCGAGGCGCUGCGCGAAACAUGGCACGUUGGCAUUUGCCACUGACAUGUUAAUUAUGUUUUUGACAAGAAAAAACAUAUUUUUGAAAUGAUUUCUUUGGAACUCUGACAUAAAUUACAUAUAUAAAAAUAAAAGAAACACUUUCGAGAUGUUUCUAGAAAUUUAUUUUUGAUUUCGAUUACGAAAAUUGUUCGAAGUUAUGAUCGAUUCCUUAAACUUUUCUCUUUUUUUAUUUUUAACCGAUAAAAUUUUCAUUCUUAUCAAUUUUUUUCUAGAUUGCGAUACAUGAGUACAGUAUUCAUCGAUUAUCAGACAAUAAACGGUAUCUAAUCAGAGAAAAUGAUUUAAAAAUAAUCGACGAUGAAACAAUUGACGUGGAUAACUUUGACAUGAUCGUUAAAACGUAAUGAAUUCAUUUGUUCCAUCGUUUUUAAAAUAAUUUCUUCUUAUAUAUCAUAACUUGUCAUGUUGAUAUAUUGCUUCUUUAGACUAUAAAUUUUUCAUAAUUUAUUAUCCAUUAUGAUGUACUAUUAAUCCUAUUUCAGUUUUGUAUUUUUUACCAUGACCUCGUUAUUUGUAGUAAGAUGAUAUGCGUUGAUCUAAACACAAAAAUGUUCACGUUCGUAAUUAUGAAAUUAAAAUUCUAUAACAAUAAUAACUACCAGUAUAUAAAUAUGAACGUUCCAGCUCGAAAUGGAAUGCACUUGGGUUGAAUUUUGCGGGGAGAAAGUAUACGAAAGGGAAGAAAGUGACAAGGAUGUCUUUUAGUCAUGUUGCGAUACAUGGAAACUUGGCGAAGUUUAAUACAUAUACAGUUCCUUUUUCGAUCGUUCUUUUUAUUCGUCCACGGUUAUGUGCUCCACAUACGAGUUGCCGGUGCACAAGUUGUCUCUUUCACUUUGCCUUGAUCUCUAGCCGAACUAGAUGCUGCGUUGCGAAGUUUUUCUUUCUUUUUAAAUUUUCAUUAAGAAUGCAUCUAUUAUUCUAAUUUUAUAUGAUAAAAAAUCAGAAUUAAUCUUUUUUUGGAAUUUUCAUUAAUAAUAUUCAUAAUAUUCAAACUAUAGUUUAAUUAUAUAAAAUAUAUGUAUUUAAUUUUUUAUUGCUUAUAUAUAAUUAAUAUAUUCAGCUAUGUACUACAAGUAACUGCAUAGUUUCAAUGUUCAAAAAAAGUAAACUUUAAUUUAUUAUAAAAUUGGUUUUAAAAUCUAUAAUUAAAUAUUUUUUACUUUUCUCUGUAAAAAUUAUAAACCACUUAAUUUUUUUUCCUUACCUUAUGAAGUAUAUAUUAAAAUUCUUACUUUAUCAGAUCUCUUUAUCAGAAAAUAAGUAUAGCUGUUACAUACUUUUUUACAUUGCAUGAGGCAAAAGCAAGAAGUUCGCUUUUUAUGCAUAGAUUUCUGAUAGUGGUAGAAGAGUCAUUUAAUUACUUGAAUAAAAAAUGGAUUUGCUUAAAUGUGUAUAACAAUUUUUUGUUCGUAUCUAAUUAAAAUUUCAAAUACAUACAUAAGUAUAUUGCUUAUAGUAUAAAAUAUACAUUCUAUAAUAUAGAAAAUACUUAUUCAUGUUGAAUCUAUAUCAUAAUUUUGAAAUAGAAAGAUAAAGCUAAAGGAAUACAAGCAUACAAUGAUAUAUAAUGAUAAGAUGAAAUAGAAAAGAUACAAAAUCAAAUAACAAUAUAAUGUAUUGGUAUUAUAACUUUUUCUAGAAUAAACAAUUAACGUUAUAAACAAUUAAUUAUAAUAUUAAUUAUUAAUAUAAACUAUUAAUCUAAUAUUAAUUUGAAUAUUAAAUUUUAAUAACUUUAAGUAAAAAUUAUAUUAUAUAUAUGUAUACUUAUUAAUAUAAUUGAAACCUAUAAAAUUAUUGAAAAAAUGAUAUAUAUAUAUAUUUUUCUUAAAAAGAAAUAAGAGAAAUUUUAAUUGUAUAAAUGUUCUCACACUAUAUAUUUAUUCUAAUUACAAAUUUUAUUCUUUAUACCGAGAAUCUAGCUUUGGAACGCAAUAUUGGAUGCGAAAUCAUACGAAGGGACAGCUGUGCCACGUACUGUGGGUCUCUUUGAACAUCAGGCCCCACUCUGCUUAGUGUCGAGGCUAUAGUAGGGAUGGCACGACACUAUAGCUGUUUCCGGUAUGCUCGUCCUUCGUACGCUUUCGUGCGACUGCUUCGACAGAAAACAACUCGUACUUAUUUAUAUUCGAAUUUCUGAUACGACCUAAAAAUUUGAAAUUAUUACAUGAAAGUCUAAAAUGCUCUUGUACAGUUUAUGUUUUUAUUCAUUAUAUCAUAUUUAUUAUGUUUUAUUUUAUAA